GAUGAAGAACGUAGUGAAAUGCGAUUCGUAAUGUGAAUUGCAGAAUUCAGUGAAUCAUCGAAUCUUUGAACGCACAUUGCGCCCGCCAGCACUCUGGCGGGCAUGCCUGUUCGAGCGUCAUUUCAACCAUCAAGCCCCAGGCUUGCGUUGGAGCCCUGCGGCUGCCGCAGCCUCCUAAAAGCAGUGGCGGGCUCGCUAUCACACCGAGUGCAGUAGAUUACUCUUCGCUCAGGGCGUGCAGCGGGUUCCGGCCGUGAAACCCCCUACUUUUAAAGGUUGACCUCGGAUCAGGUAGGAAUACCCGCUGAACUUAAGCAUAUCAAUAAGCGGAGGA
rnacentral:misc_RNA from 1 species